rnacentral:rRNA from 1 species
GUGCCAGCAGCCGCGGUAAUACCGGCAGCUCGAGUGAUGUCCAAUAUUAUUGGGCCUAAAGCGUCCGUAGCUGGCCGCGCAAGUCCGUCGGGAAAUCCACCUGCCCAACAGGUGGGCGUCCGGCGGAAACUGGCCGGCUUGGAACCGGAAGGCUCAGAGAGUACGUCUGGGGUAGGAGUGAAAUCCCGUAAUCCCGGACGGACUACCGAUGGCGAAAGCACUCUGAGCAGACGGCUUCGACAGUGAGGGACGAAAGCUCGGGUCUCAAACCGGAUUAGAAACCCCUGUAGUCC